CUCUCUAAAGUUGGCCCAUAAGUUAUUAGGGUACCUUUCUUGUCGAUGAUAAAAUAGCAGAAAAAAACCGCCUGACCCUUCAGAUGACACAGCCUCCGGAUCACGCUUGCGUAGCGGCUAUAGUUAUCAUUUAUCUGCUACAUUAAUCCAACCAUUUACCUCUUUUGCACCACUCAUCCCUCUCUCUCUCUCUCUCUCUCUUCUUCCUUCGCUUAUUAACUUCAACAACUUCUGCCGAUUUCAUAUCCGACGGUAUGCUGCUCCGGAUCGGUUAUCAAGACGGUGUUCUCGGAAUGAAAUAGGAAGCUUGUGAACAUACUUAUGGGGUUCAUGCCGUGUACUUAGACGGCGCUUGGUAACGUGUUUUUGAUUUUGGUUUAUGGGUUUCUCAUGUUCACGGCGGUAACAUAUCUAUGUGCCGGAAGUGAGCUUCUUCUCGAGAUUGGCCCUUGAAUCGUCGGUGGUUUGUUUCUUCCCAUGGUCGGAGUACUCCCUGAUGCUAUGCUUAUUAUGGAUAGGUGAAAGUCUCUGUGGGAAUGGGUUUGCUCGCUGGCUCUACCGUUACGCUUCUUUCUAUUAUCUGGAGAACUUGCACAGUUGUUGGCAAGUGUAACAUUCGUGAUACUAUUGCUGUAAACAACCAAGACACUAGAAGCUUCCAUCUUAAAGAUUCUGGUGUUAGUGUUGAUGUUUGGACCAUUUGCUUAUUCAUCGUAGUUUUCCCUCUCACUUCAUCUACAUUUCUAAUCUGACAUGACAAGAAAGAGAAUGCAGUGGUUGAGUUUGUGUGGGUGGUGAGCGCGAAAGAAAAAUUUGUAGCAGAAACGUUGAAACAUCUGACCAUGGAGAUCACUGGUGCUAGGAGGAAGAAACUUUAUGAAGCAACAGUGUGGGUUAAGCCAAGGAUGAACUUCAAGGAGUUAUGCCGGUGAUAAUGCCCCUGCCAUUACUCCCUCCUAACUUGGCUGCAAAUAAGAUGAUCAUAAAUCUUGGAGGGAAGUUCCACGAGAUGAUUCAGUACAAUCAUUUUCUGAUCAUGCUGUCAAGAGCAUCCAACACAGAUUUAACUCAUUGUUACUUUCGUCAAGUUCCCCUUAUGCCGUUGUCUCUGGCUCUGAUGUGCUGUGUGCUUUGGUGUUGUACGGGAGUGGUGCUUUGAGAUUAAACCUAAACAACUCCACUUCUCAUGCUGUUGGUGGUGUGCAGGUCAAUAAAAAGUGUUCCAAAUGUAGGUGGCUUCUCUCCAGAGCCGGGCUUGAGGGGCCCCUACAAACUCAGGACCGGCUCUGCUUAUCUCCCACCAACACACUUCCACCAAAAAGUGAGAGUGCACCUAAGAAAGUACAAAUAGUUUAAUUCCAGGCAGAUGCCUUACUUGAUCACAAUUUUUGCUUCGUAAAUAAUGCUUUAUCAACCAUUUUAAAAUUAAUAAUUUCUCAUCAUAUCCUCUGUGUUUAGUCUUUCAAUGUAAGCAUAUUUGGUAUUCAUAAUUUUACCGGGCCGGUCACAA